rnacentral:misc_RNA from 1 species
GAUGAAGAACGCAGCGAAAUGCGAUAAGUAGUGUGAAUUGCAGAAUUCAGUGAAUCAUCGAAUCUUUGAACGCACAUUGCGCCCCUUGGUAUUCCAUGAGGCAUGCCAGUUCGAGCGUCAUUUGUACCUUCAAGCUUUGCUUGGUGUUGGGUGUUUGUCUCGCCUUUGCGUGUAGACUCGCCUUAAAAUAAUUGGCAGCCGGCGUAUUGAUUUCGGAGCGCAGUACAUCUCGCGCUUUGCACUCAUAACGACAGCGUCCAAAAGUACAUUUUACACUCUUGACCUCGGAUCAGGUAGGGAUACCCGCUGAACUUAAGCAUAUCAAUAAGCGGAGGA